rnacentral:misc_RNA from 1 species
AAGUCGUAACAAGGUUUCCGUAGGUGAACCUGCGGAAGGAUCAUUAUUGAAUAAACAUGGUGGGUUGUCGCUGGCUCCUUGGAGCAUGUGCACGCUCAUCGUCUUUAUCCAUCCACCUGUGCACCUUUUGUAGUCUUGGGAAAUGAAUGCAAUGGAACCUCGAUAGGUUUUUCAGCCUUUCGGAUGUGAGGAAUGCUUUGUGAAAGCAUGGCUCUUCUCAAUAGCCUUGCAAUCGUUACUCAGACUAUGUUUUUCAUACACCAUGUAGUAUGUUUGCAGAAUGUAUCAAUGGGCCUCUGUGCCUAUAAAACUCAAUACAACUUUCAGCAACGGAUCUCUUGGCUCUC